ACAUUCUUCAAAGUGGCUGCGAAAUGUUUUCUCUGCUGUUAAAAAAGAAAUACAUUUUUUUCGUGUUGUUUUUUAAUAUUCAUAUCACAGCCAGCUUUGAGGAGCGUCA
rnacentral:pre_miRNA from 2 species